rnacentral:rRNA from 1 species
CUAGUAAUCGCGGAUCAGCAUGCCGCGGUGAAUACGUUCCCGGGCCUUGUACACACCGCCCGUCACACCAUGAGAGUUUGUAACACCCAAAGCCGGUGGGGUAACCUUUUGGAGCCAGCCGUCUAAGGUGGGACAGAUGAUUGGGGUGAAGUCGUAACAAGGUACC